UACGGAGGGUGCAAGCGUUAUCCCGGAUUCACUGGGUUUAAAGGGUGCGUAGGUGGGUCUGUAAGUCAGUGGUGAAAUCUCCGUGCUUAACAUGGAAACUGCCAUUGAUACUAUAGGUCUUGAAUUUUCUGGAGGUAAGCGGAAUAUGUCAUGUAGCGGUGAAAUGCUUAGAUAUGACAUAGAACACCAAUUGCGAAGGCAGCUAACUACGGGGAUAUUGACACUGAGGCACGAAAGCGUGGGGAGCGAACAGG
rnacentral:rRNA from 1 species